rnacentral:rRNA from 1 species
GACGAACGCUGGCGGCGUGCUUAACACAUGCAAGUCGAACGAUGAACCACUUCGGUGGGGAUUAGUGGCGAACGGGUGAGUAACACGUGGGCAAUCUGCCCUUCACUCUGGGACAAGCCCUGGAAACGGGGUCUAAUACCGGAUAACACUGCCACGGGCAUCUGUGGUGGUUAAAAGCUCCGGCGGUGAAGGAUGAGCCCGCGGCCUAUCAGCUUGUUGGUGAGGUAAUGGCNCACCAAGGCGACGACGGGUAGCCGGCCUGAGGGGGCGACCGGCCACACUGGGACUGAGACACGGCCCAGACUCCUACGGGAGGCAGCAGUGGGGAAUAUUGCACAAUGGGCGAAAGCCUGAUGCAGCGACGCCGCGUGAGGGAUGACGGCCUGGUGUAA